rnacentral:rRNA from 1 species
ACACCGGCAGCUCAAGUGGUAGCCGCUUUUAUUGGGCCUAAAGCGUCCGUAGCCGGUCUGAUAAGUCUCUGGUGAAAUCCCACAGCUUAACUGUGGGAAUUGCUGGAGAUACUAUCAUGACUCGAGGUCGGGAGAGGCUGGAGGUACUCCCAGGGUAGGGGUGAAAUCCUGUAAUCCUGGGAGGACCACCUGUGGCGAAGGCGUCCAGCUGGAACGAACCUGACGGUGAGGGACGAAAGCCAGGGGCGCGAACCGGAUUAGAUACCCGGGUAGUCCUGGCCGUAAACGAUGUGGACUUGGUGUUGGGAUGGCUUCGAGCUGCCCCAGUGCCGAAGGGAAGCUGUUAAGUCCACCGCCUGGGAAGUACGGCCGCAAGGCUGAAACUUAAAUGAAUUGGCGG